rnacentral:rRNA from 1 species
UCUCACAGGACAUAGCACCCUGAGAGUGCCUGAUCCCCUCUGAUCUUGGGCACUAAGCAUGGCUAGGCCUGGUUAGUACUUGGAUGGGAGGUGACCAGGAAUACUAUUUUCUGGAGGU